GGCUCCUACAAUUUUUUUUCUCCCACUCUUCGUGUGGCUCCAGGAGCUUCAAGAGACAGCCUCCAAUUUGAGCUCUCUUUCUCCUUAAUGUUUGACUGUGGCCCCAUGUAUCUGUUUCCAUCAGCUGCUGGAAGAUGGCUCUUCAGCUAGGAAUUGAUCUAUGAGUAUACUAGAAUAUCAUUAAGAAUAAUUUUGUUGAAUUUUUUUUCUGUCCUAAUUGUUACCACUCUAAUUGUAGGCAUGGACCUUGGAGCUUGGAGUCGAAACAUGAGGCAGAGACUCUUAUGCAAUACUCAUCUUUAUUCAGGAAACCAGACAACUUUUCUCUUUUGCUUUUCAGUUGCCUCAUGGAUGGAUUCGGGGAGGUGAUAUCUAAUUCUUGAAUAUGGUGGUCACUGUCAGACAACUGCAGACAGCUGUGUGUCCAUUUAGGUGGCUGCUUUCAAAGUGGCCUGGGAAGUCUGUGGCUGUCACUCCCUAGGAAACCAGAAAGGAAGAGUGGGUCAAAGGACAAAAUCAGCUGUUGCAGCAACAGAAGAUUUAGGCACUGACAAAGUGCCAACCGUUAGGAACAGUUGCAGAGCCACACAGCUGGGAGGUCCACCCACCCUGGGGCUUCUUUUGCCACAGCAAUUUGAUAAAAACUAUUUUGGGAAGGAAUGUCCUCGGAACUGGAGUAUCUUCGACUCCCAAGGUUUCCUCUGAAUGAUUGGUCAACAGGUGUCAAAGAGCUGGUGGCAGAAAUAGUCCAGACCUCUCUGUUGUUCUAAUUUUACACCUGCUUGGGCAGCAGAGUUUGAAUGUAUUGCUUCUUAAACAAGGAAGUCUUUUAUCAGUUUCUGCAGGAAAAUAAGAGAGGCAAAUACAGUGUGGAUGCAGUAGCAUUUCCGUAGGUACACAUAUGGGCGCACUGUGACCACAGACUCUUCUCUGAUUUUUGUUGCAUAUUGAAACUAUGAUACAAUUCAAACCUACAGAGUUUUCAUAUAGAAUGGGGUCUCUCUGGAAGAACAGAUGUUGACAUACAUUAAUGUGAACUCUGCACGAAGCUAUCAUGGUUUUCUGAAAACUUGUUACCGGUGCAAAAUUAAAUAGUAUUACCUUUUUUUUUUAUUUUAACAACAGCACAUGCAAAAUAAGCUUGUGAAAUGGUGAUCAGUUCAGAGUCUGAAAAAAAAAAGUAAAUGUGGUACAAUCUGAUAGGAGGUUAUUAAGCUCUUUAGUGGUUGUGACCAAUGGAUUCGGAUGUGGUCUUCCUCACAGUGUCUCUAUUUAAUAGAUAACCUGACAAGCUCUGAAUCUUGAAGAGGCUAUUGCUCCCCACAGUGUAUUAUCAACACUUUAAUGCUAAGUCCUUAUGAUUAAUAGUCAAUAUUUUUAAAAUACUUGCUCUGUAUAAUCAGAUCUCUUGCCAGAUGUUAGCAUCUCCACGUUUUGUUUGCUUUAUCAGUAUAGGGAGCCAAAGAAGCUGUGACUAAAUGUGUAAAAAGCAGACAAGUGAUGGUGUUCUGUUCUCAUUAGCCUUGUUCUCCAAGGCUAUUAUUGUCUUCUAUGAGAAUGGCAACCCACAAGCCAGAGUGUCACUGCUGACAAAAUGUGCAAGUAGAAGUAGUUACAAACAAUGGACCACCAUGUGCAAAAUCUACAACUGCAAUUUCCUUCUCUCCAUUGUUUAUAGCCUGAGACUGCUCACCUACAGAGACCUUGUACCAACCUACCAAGACAAAAUUAUAACUCCUGCAAUGUACCCAAUAAAUACAGUGAG
ensembl:lncRNA